AUACUUACCUGGUGGGGAAGACAUUAUGAUCUUGAAGAUAGAGGCAAAAAAAAAAAAAAAAAGUUUUUCCAGGGUGAGGUUCAUCCCUUGCACUCUGGCUGUGCUGAUUCCUGUGAUUUCCCUGCACGCAGGAAACUUGACUGUAGAAUUUGUGGUAGUGGGGGGCUGCGUCUGCAAUCUCCCG
rnacentral:snRNA from 1 species